UAAAACGACAGUUGGAAAUUAAGGGCUUGGGCUUGGGAAUGUUGUGCACUUGCACGUGCACCUCACUUGCACGUGCACCGCACUUUCGGAGAUAUUGGCUACUUCUGGUUACUUCCGGAAAAUUCUCGUGACAAUUUGCCAAAAGGUGGUGCAGCUAUUAUUCUGUGUUUUUUUCGCUAUCAACAGUACAGGCUGACCCUACGAGCAACGACAGUUUUAGCUAUUCAAAUGUUUUAGCACCUCGUCUUGCAACUAAUAGUUGAUAUUCUUGGUUUUUAUGUUUUAAAUUGAAAUUCAACUAUUUGAGAUCAGAGGAAAAACUAGAUGACGUUGAUGUGCGUCUAUGAUAAUUUUACGAGUGACAAGUUAAAUUGGUGACGUUUCUAUCCUGUUAAGUGUUUUAAAGGAUUUUUCAUCAAAUAACAACGUGUGUGGUAGGGUUUCACAUUGUCAGCUGCUGCUUCCCUACAUUAAAAAGUAAAGUAAUUGAAAGAUCACUAAUAAAUAGGAUUGCAUUUUGUAACUAUGCCAAGGGCCAACCUGAGAGACACUUCUUUUCACGAUUGUUUGCAUGGUACACUUGAUUGUUGUUUGAAGGUGGAUUGUCACUAGACGUCCUUUGAAUGGUACACCCUCUAUCAGCAGCCUUACAGUGUGCUUCAUAAUUACAUCAACCCCUGAGAUCGUUGGAAACUGUGUUUUUGCUCUCCACCUUUAUUAUCCACAUGCAAUUUUCACACUACUUCAUUACCUUCAUGGAAAACCAGGUGUGAUAUUUUAUCAUCCUGGAAAAAGAGUUCUGGAAAUUGAUGAUUUCUAAUAUACAGCUGAUUUUCAGAAUGAGCUUCCAAUUUGAAGUUGUGAGAGAUUUAUUGGAUUAUAUGGAUUCCUACUUUGAAAACCAAAUUAUUUCCUUCUACAAAUGGAUUUUGAAGUAUCGUACAUGUGGUAUUAUGUACUCAGUGAUAUCUUCGCGAAGCCUUUAAUUGACGUUAUACUAAAAAAUUCCCAUGGGAGGAAGUUCUUUCAGGAUCUGUUAUUAUCGACCGUCUAUGUUAUGCAGUAAUUGGAUCUGCAGUUUAGUUAGAAACUUUAACUUAGAAAUGUGCUCAACAUAGAAUUUAUAUGAAAAAUUAUAUUUGAUUGGAAAAAGUUCCUGGUUGAGACAAGAGAUCAAAAAAAUGAUACUGUUUAGAAGGACGACCGGCAAUUUCAAGAUUCAUUUAUUUCCUUCCACAUUAUAGUAUUUAUAUAUAUUUUUAAAAUUGAA